rnacentral:lncRNA from 1 species
UUACACGAUCCCAUUUAUAGGAGAUGUUCAGAUAAGCAAAUCCAUGGAGACGGAAUGUUGACACUAAUGGGUCGAGGCCUUCUUUUGGUGACGAUAAAAAGGUUCUGGAAUUAGAUAGUUGUGGUGAUUGCACAAUUCUGUAGAUACGUGCUUCAAAUGGCGACCUCGAGGAAUUCUGCUCAAAUUUUCUCUUUGUUUUCUUUUGGAGUUUUGCUAACGCCACUUAAGACAAUGUGGAUGAAGGAAGAACGAAGACUCCUCCUCUCUCUCAAGUCUUUGAAUUCUGGGAAUCGUUUGACGCAUUAGUUUCCACCUGCGACUAAUGCUCCUCAUGUGGGGCUGUGGGACCAUCACCUGCUAACCAGGUGGACAGCCCCACCCGUCAAUGUUUGGAGGGAGUGUUGGUCCUCAAUAGGAACUACAAUAAAAGUGUCAAAAUUACUUUUCACUGAUGGCUACAAUGAAGCACUUUGGAUUUGAGCUUCUCUUUGAGAAAGAGCAGUAUUUCUACAGAAGAGAUACCUGGUGGACCGAUGAAGCUCCAAGGAGGUCUUUAUGGGUUCUUGCCUUGCUGUUCAUCCUCUGGGAUUUGAAAACUGCUCUUAGUCUCUGGACAGAGUCUACUUGUCUUGCCUGGUUUGAAUCCACGGAUCAUCUGCAGAACACAGAGACCGAGACUUAUCUCCCGACCAAUGAACAUCCGCCAAAAUCUCUCCCUAUCCACAGGCCAACAAACUUACUGCUUGGACUCUGGCUGGACUCCCCCUCUUUACGCUCCUUGUUCAUCAAGACAGCCCGCCUCAAACCCGCAACGGACUUGCCUGUAGCUUGCUACAGCAUUCAUUCACUGAACUGCAAUUCUUCUGCUAGUCCUGAAUAAACUCAAUUUCUGGUAAUUUGAGCUUGCCUCAGUUUACCUCUUUAUUUAGGUUGACAUAAUAGAGAUUUAGUUUUAUUUCUUACAUAUUUCUCUCAACAAUAUAUUUUUAUCAUCAGUCCAUGUUACCGUAUGCACAUUCAUCCACCACAUGUGACUUCUACAUAGCGCUGGAAAUGGGGACCUGAGCGAUAUCUAACAACCCACUUCCACAAAGAGGCUGCAUGGAGCAUUCUUGUACACGUACCUUUGCAGAACUAUGCCCGGGUUUCUUGGAGGAGUGUAUGUAUUAAGCAUGGGAUUGCUGGAGCUUAAACCUAUACAUGCUUAAUUUCAGAAAGCAUUGCCAAAUUUCUUUUCAGAAUAACUUCACCAGUCUACACCCCCAGCAGCAGCACAUGAGUUCCCUUUUCUCCACGUUUGUCCAC